rnacentral:rRNA from 1 species
UACGGGGGGGGCAAGCGUUGUUCGGAAUUACUGGGCGUAAAGGGCGCGUAGGCGGCUUGAUGUGUCAAAGGUGAAAUCCCUCGGCUCAACUGAGGAACUGCCUUUGAAACUGUCUGGCUUGAGGCCGGGAGAGGGUAGCGGAAUUCCCAGUGUAGCGGUGAAAUGCGUAGAUACUGGGAGGAACACCGGUGGCGAAGGCGGCUACCUGGACCGGUUCUGACGCUGAUGCGCGAAAGCGUGGGUAGCAAACAGG